rnacentral:lncRNA from 1 species
UAAAAUUUUAGAUCAUCUCCGGAAGACUUUUGUUAUUUUUUAACUUCUAUCUUCCUUGCAGUUGUAGAAAACACAUCUUCUUUGGAUUAUCAUCUGGUAUCAUAGUCAAGUUGAUCAGAUGGUUAUCUCAAUCCAACCUACCGUCCCACUUUUUCAAGGAAAUGGAUAUGAUAGUUGGAGCAUAAAGAUGAGGACUCUUUUUAUCUCCGAAGAUCUGUGGGAGCUUGUGGAUAAGGGUUAUGCAGAAGAGGAAAUUCCAAGAGAUGCUAUGAGAGAUGUACGAAAGAAUGAUGCCAAGGCAUUGUUUUUUAUUCAACAAGCAAUCACAGACAGCAUUUUUCCUCAAAUUUCAAAGGCAACGAAGUCUAAGGAAGCAUGGGACACUUUGCAAACAAAAUAUCAAAGCACAAGCCUGGUAUUAGUUACAAUGUAUUGAAUUUUUAGAUUCAGUCAAAUAAAGUAAAAUAUCUAUGUUUCCAACUAAUUCGUAAGAUUAGAAUGUGUUGUUCUAAGAAGGGUUCUGACUACAGCUUUAAAUUAAUGGGUUGUUGGAUAAUUUAUUUAGGAGUUUAUUUGAGUUUGGUUGCUUAUUUAACGGCAAGUGUUCAACUCAAUUAGAUUUCUUAUCUUUCAUCUUGAACUUUUUUUAAGUGCUUUAUUAUUUUUUAACUUCUCUAUGGUAGGAAGGCAUCUUUUUCUUAUUAUUGUAAAUGAUAUAAUGACAUAAUAGAUCAUAUAUCAGAUCACUUCACUUUAGUUGAAUUCACUUUUAUUUGGGAGGAUUGAAAGACCAAAUGAAUACUUAGGUUAUAUUUGGUUCCCAAAAGUAGGAAGAAAACAAUAAAAUAAAAUAAAAUGAAAUAUUAAACAAAAUUAUUUUUUCAUGUAUGGUUUUAUUAAGAAAAAAUUAAACAUAAUUAAAUUAAUUAAAAAAUUAUUUAUUUUUAAAUUAUUUAACCUUUAUACAAAAUAGUUGAAAUAACUUAAACGAGUUUGAAGCAAUGUAGAAAUAUAAUUAAUUAAUUUUCAAAGUAUUUUUUAUUUUCAAUUGUUUCUUCUACUCUUCUUCUUUUCUUUACAUUUUCCCUCAAAUUUCUUGGGUGCUUAUAACAACAGUGCAGAAUUGCUGAAUUAACUCGGGUUUUGAUUUGAAUUAGGUUGCAGCUCAAGAUGGAGAUGGCAGCCAAACUGACAUCCCAGUCAUGGAUGACUCUGUGUAUAAGGCAGCAGCGAAGGGCGACAUUGAAGUUCUGAAGAAAAUUCCAGAGUCCCAAUUUCAUGCCCAAUUAACCCCAAAGCAUAACACGAUACUCCACAUCGCAAGUGAAUUCGGUCAAACAGAGUGUGUGAAAUGGAUCCUUACGUUGCCUGCAUGUUCAUCUCUACUGCAAUGCCCUAAUCUGAACGGGGACACUGUGCUUCACCUUGCAGCAAGGGAAGGGCAUUUGAAGGUCGUGGAAGCUCUUCUAGAACCUACCCUAGAUAUUGAAACUGGAGUUGGAGAAGAUAAGGAGAUGUUGAUCGGGAUGACAAAUAAGGGGAAAAACACAGCCUUGCAUGAGGCAGUGCGAUUUAACCAUUCUGAUGUGGUGGAGUCAUUGAUUGAGAAGGACCCCAGGUUUAACUAUCGUGCUAAUGAUUCAGGUACGACUCCUCUUUACAUGGCUGCGGAGAGAGGACUUACAGGCUUGGUGGUACUAAUCAUAGACAAAAGUAGUACUUCACCCUCUUACCAUGGCUUAAUGGGUAGAACGGCCUUGCACGCUGCUGUAUUAUGCAAUAAUGAAGGUAGUAGACUCACAAUACUAAUGAUUAUGUUAUUUUCAUAUAUGUAGAUUAAAAGGGAACAUGCAUGCCUUCAUUUGUUUUGUUCAUUUGCUUAAUUUUCUUAAACUAUUUUCCUUUAUCUAUUAAUCAGCAAUGACAAAUAAGAUACUUGAAUGGAAGCCAGACCUCACCAAAGAAGUAGAUAAGAAUGGGUGGUCUCCACUUCACUAUGCUGCAGAGAGAGGUUGUGAUCUGAAAAUAGUGGAGCUAUUGCUAAGUAAGUCAGAAAAGAGUGUAGCCUACCUUAGGAGCAAAGAUGGGAAGAAGACUGCCCUUCAUAUUGCAUCUUUCCACCAUCAUACAAAAAUAGUAGAGGAGAUCCUAUCUCACUCUCCUGGUUGUCGGGAGCAGGUCGAUGACAAGGGCAAUAAUAUUUUUCACUUUGCCAUGAUGAAAAAGGGUGACCGGUACGAUGAUUUUAAGCCUAGUAAUUACUUCGACAAUAAAUGGUUAGGGUCAAGAGGACCUGUAAAUGGGCCAGGAGGAUUUGUAAAUGGGCCAAGAGGACUUGUAAAUGAGAAAAAUGCUCAAGGAAACACACCCAUCCAUCUGCUCUCUCUUAAUCAAAUUUCAGAUUCUUGGUUUGUAUGGAAUGAAAAAGUGGAUAAGAAGGCGUACAACAAUGAAGACUUGACAGGUUAUGACAUAAUUUUGAGGGCGGACAUUUCCGAGAAAAAGGUAAGGCUCGCACAUAACUUCAAUUAUAUGUUUAUUGGCAAAUGCUUACCACGUUUCUCAUUUCUUUGAGCUGUGUUAUGUUUUGUUAUUUUUGCUAUGUUUGGAUUCCUUCAACCUAAGCAUUAGCUAGUUUUUUAUUUAUUUUUUUUGUCUCCAAAGUUUCAAGAUGGGAUAAUAGAGAAAAGGAAAAGAAAGAAAUAGAGGAAAAAAAAUUACAAAAUGUUUAUUGCUUUUCAUUGUUUAUUGAGAAAUUAAGCAAAAGAAAUUUAAAUUUAAGAGGAAUGUACUUAGCAUAAACCUUUUUUUCUUAAAAAAAAAAAGGAAAUGGGAAGAAAAAUUGUUAGUGUCUUUUAUUUAGUAAUUUUUUUCUUAUCAUUUUUUCACUUGUAUCCAAAUGUUGAAAAAUAAAAAAAUAAAAGAAAACCAUUUUUAUUAAAAAAAAAUUUCCGUUACUUUCCAAAAUCAAAUGUAGUUUAAGAUUAAUUUGAGGAAAAUAAAAGAAAAAAAAGAAGAAAAUAAAAAGAAAACAACAAUUUAUAAAAUUUUCUUUCAUUUUAUUGUUCAUAAAAAAGUCGGGAAAAAAAUUAAAUUGUUGAGAAAUGCAGUCUUUCCAAGCUUUUUCCACUUUUUCUAAGGAAAAUAUUUUAUUUUUUCUAUAUAUAUAUUUUACAUUUUCAUGAAUUUCAAACUAUAUUUGGUUCAUGAAAAACAUUAGGGCAAUGUUUAUUUCAUUGAUUUUUGUCUUUUUUUUUUUAAUUUUCUUCUCUUAACAUUUUUCCUUAUGGUUUCUUUUAGAAAUAAACAUAGCCUUAUCAUUUGUUUUCACUUUUUCUUUUUUAUGACUAAAAUAGUUUUAAGGUUUCUCAUGAACCAAACAUAACAUCAAGAAAACAUUUUUUUCUUUUCCACAUUUUAAUUAUUUUUAUCACAUUUUAAAGCAGUAGAAGGUGAGUAGGAUGAAGAGUUAAUAAAAAAUGGAUUCAUCAGUUGAAUUAAAUUUAAAUGUUAUUCACAUCUGAUUUCAGGAAAAUAUCCAAGUUGCCUUCGAGUAUGUUAUGACUGAAAGUCGUUCUUCGGUUACGGAGAAGGAAACUAAGAGACGGGAGAGAAAGAAAGAAAGGAAAGAAUACAUCUCUCAAUUACAAAAACAAGGGGAAACCCAUUUGAUAGUUUCUGCGCUUAUAACAACAGUAACUUUUGCUGCGGGUUUCACCUUGCCCGGUGGUUACAAAGAGGAUGAUGGCCAGGCAAUUUUAUCAAAGAAAGCAGCCUUCAGAGCAUUUGUUGUGACGGAUACCAUAGCCAUGGUAUCUUCACUAUGCGCCGUAUUGCUUCACUUUUUUAUGACCAUGCGCCAACGUGGGGAGUACCUUGAAAAACACUUACUUUGGGCCUUUAGUUUGACCAUGGUUGGGAUGGGAGCAAUGGCCAUCGCUUUCGCAACCGGCUCGUACGCUGUUUUACCGCAUUCCUCGGGCCUUUCAUUUCUCACUUGCAUCAUCUGCUCUUGCUUUUUCCUCUCCAUUGCAGUUGAAUAUUGUUUAUUUUGGAGAGGUACGAUUUCGGAAUUCACAAUCAAAAUAAUCCACAAAAUCCUCCUUGCUUCUGAAAGAAAAGAAAAUGCAGAUGCGUAGAUGAGGGCUCCCGAAUCGAUCCUAGUCUUUAUAAUCCACUAUUUCUUGGGUUGGAUCAAAAGACUUUUUCGGGCUAAGCAAUAUAUCAGAUUAGUCAAUGGAUACAAUUGUGAAUAUGAAUAAUGUUAGUGUUUAUUGUAAAUUUGGAUGCAAUUGAUCAUUGAGAUUAAUAUAAUCAAAACUAGUUUUACAAACGAUUUUUGAUAAAUUUAUAUUAAUGAAAUCAUUUUUUUUUAUAAACUGUUUUUGUCAUUGAAUUAAAAUUAUUUUUGUAUAAAUUAUAUUUGAUGCAUUCAUUUUUUUAUCCAUGGAUAUCAUUGUAUAAGAUUGGCAGUCAGAAUUUAAUUUCAUGAAUCAAUUCUUAUAAAAUUGAUACUACUAAAGUUAGAAUUGAUUAUUAUUUUUAAAAUUGGGAUUAAAGAAUUAGAACUUUAUUGUAUAAAUUAUUUUUUAUAAAAUUUGAAGUGUUGUCUUGGAUCAUAACAAAAGACUUUUUUGGGUUUACUGGGUGACUAACACUUGAAUUGAGAUUACUAGGGAUUUGAAAGAUUUGAAACAUGAACCUCAUGAUGGAAAAGUAAGAGAUAAGCCAGUAAGCCACUGCGCAAUAUAUCACAUUAGUAAAUAUUUCUGUAUAAUCCUAUAAUGGUGUUUUUCCAACCUUUAUUUUUAUAAUAAUAGGUAUGAAAUAAUAUAAAUUGAUUUUAAAAUUUUAAAAUAAUAAAAUAUAUGGAUAUAUAGUUAAAAUUAAAUAUUAUAAUUUUCUUUUUAUCUUAAAUAUCUUCAAACGUAAAUAUUAUACAUAUUAUAUUUAAUAAAAUUUAAAACAUUAAUAUAUUUAUACUUAUUUUUAUGAUUCAAUUUAACAUAUUAAAUAUAAAAAUAAAAUAUUAUUAAAUUUUUAAUUGUUUAUUUUAAAUUUUAUAUAAUAUAUAAAUUAUAUAUUUAUGAUAUAACAGAUUUGAUCAUUUGUCAAUCAUGGAUUUGACUAUUGAAUUAUGACUUAGUGUCUUUUCCAAUUUAAUAGCCAAUUCCAUUCUAAAGCCAUUGUUAACAUUUUUUUACGAGACAAUUGUGAGUUCAAAAAUUAAUUUUUGGUUCAUAUAAGUUGUAUAAUUAAUAGAGAUAAUAUAAAAUAUGAAGAGAUCAAUAUACCUUUCAAAACUAUUUUCUACCAUAAUGUUUGAUAAACCUUUUUGUCUUAAUUUUCUUUUAAUAAUUAUUAUGAAAAUUUAUUAUUUUUAGAAAACUGAUUUUUUUAAAAGAAUAUAUUCUAAAAAUAUAUCAUUUAAAAAAAAUAAAUUUAAUCUUAUUUUCUCUUAAAAGAAAAAAAGAUAUAAUUUUACCUACUAACAAAAUUAUUUAAUAAAUAUAAUGUUUUAAAAUAAAAUAUAUUUAAAUACAAUCAUGAGGUAGAUGAAAAUUAUUUUUUCAUAUUUUUAUAAUUUUUAGCAAAUAAUUAAAUUUAAAUAUAAAAUCCGCUAUUAGCUAACACGUGCCUCGUACAUUGAUGAAACGUAUUUAUAAGUCAAAUAAGCAGGAACCAUGAAGCUUUGAAAAAUGAAAUAGAAAUAUACUAUUUUUCAAUUACAGUCUUCAGUCACAAUUAGAACAAACCACUACUCUUCAGUCACCACCGAGCUGAGAUGUUCCUUCCGCAGGUAGUUGCAUCCUGAUAUGUCUCUCCCCAUGGAUUCCUACCCCAAGAAACACUUCCUUAAUGAUAUUCAGUUCCAUCACCACGUCUUUGAUGUCCAUUCGAUCACCAGGUGAUUCUUCAGAACGUGCUACUCCAAUUCUCGCAAUUGAGGCAAGGCAAUGCUGCAUUCUACCUUCCACAUCACCGUGAUUUGCUAUAUUGUUGAUUGCUUCACCUGACUCCCCAACCAAGUUUGAAUCGGCAAUCUCCAUCACCCGUUCUGGCAAUGCCAUCUUCGAGAAACUGUGAAGGCUCAAACCAUCCGGAAACAUGUGUUCUGUUGGUCUCUUUCCCGUGAACAUCUCCAGGAAAAGGAUGCCAUAGCUGUACACAUCUCCUUGAGGCCACAUGGAGCCACCUAGUCCAUAUUCUGCCAUGCAUAUAUUCAUCUUUUUUUACUUAAAAGUCCAUUGAAAAGUAAGGCUAAUAGGCCGAGUGUAGCUAUGCUAUCCUGCGUGCCAAUUUAAACCAACAAUUUCACAACUUAUUUUUAGGAUUGAGGAAAAAAGACUUAAGGAAGUGUACCUGGAGCGACAUAACCGAUGGAUCCCAUCAUCAGUGUCGAACUGGUUUGAUCACUACUCAGCAUGUCGUCAGCUUCAGGAAAGAGCUUGGCUAACCCGAAGUCCCCGACAUGGGCAAUCAUGUCAUCAUCAAGAAGAACAUUGCUUGGCUUUAGAUCACCAUGAACAAUUGGUGUCUGCAAUUGGUGAUGAAGAUAAUCCAGAGCAUUAGCCACAUCAAUUGCAAUAUCUAAUCUUUGUCUGAAGCUUAAAUUUCUGGAUUCGUGAUGCAGCCAGCUAUCUAGGUUCCCAUUAGGCAUGAACUCAAAUACUAGAGCACUAAAAUCACUACCUCUGUUUGUCCACACUUGUAUAUGAAGUUAUGAUCCUGAGGAGAUUUCGAUGUUGAAUUUGCCCGGAGGACCUUGCACUCAGCCAUGAAACUCUUGGAAGCUCCAUGCUAUUGAAGGUUCAGUACCUUCACUGCAACCGGUCUUUAGCCUUGACUAGGAAUUCCUUUGUAUACAGAACCAAAACUUCCCAUGCCAAUCAAAGUUGGAGGAAGCAAAUGCACCAGUUGCUUUGAGUUGUAAGAAACCCUCAAGUACCCAUAUCCCAAAGAAGUGGAAGAGGACUUCAUUAUUGUCUUUUUUCUCCUAUAAAGGAGAACUGAAGCCACAAUGAAAGCCAAGCAAGAAACACCAGCAAUGCUUAUAGCUACAAUAAUUUUGAUUGAAGGAUGCUUGCCCUUGGCAUACUUUGCUGACUCUACAACAGAGCAUGGUGGCAGAUGCAGUUGAGGGAUUUCCCCACAAAGCUUCUUGUUCCCAGUGAUUGAAAUCCCAUUCACAUUUUUAAAAACUCCUCCACUUGGAACUACUUCACCUUCAAGGUAGUUAAAAGACAGAUUUAAAGUCAGCAAAGCAGAAAGAUGUUGUAGUUCUUUGGGAAUCGUUCCAGACAAGUUGUUGCAUGAAAGAUCUAGGAAUUGAAUUCCUCGCAAAGAGCUAAAGGACGGGUAUUUUUCCCUGGAAAGAGUUUCUUGCCAUGUCGAGGUACUCUAAUACUGAACAGCUGCCAAGUUCCCUGGGAAUUUCCCCUGACAAAUGUGUUAUCAGAAACAAGUAACUCAUUUAGGUUUUUCAGUUGACCAACAUCUGCUGGAAGAGAACCAGUGAAUGAGUUUUGUUGAAGGUAGAGUGAUCUCAACCGAUUGAAAUGACCAAUGACAUUUUCAGGUACACUACCACUCAACUUAUUGUGACUGAGGUCCAGAGUUUCCAUAUUGUGGCAGUUCCUGAGAGAUGUAGGAAUGUUCCCAUCCAAAUUGUUGUAGCUCAUGUUAAGGUGGAACAGUUGACUUAAGUUGCCGAGGGUGGACAGUAGCAGACCUGAUAGCCUGUUCUAACCGAAGUCCAAUUCUCCUAAGUUCUGAAGCUUGCCAGUUGAUGUGGGAAUGAUACCAGUGAGAUAAUUCCGAGUUGCAAUGAAUUGAAUCAAGUUGAUGAGGUUUCCAAUCUCUUUUGGGAUGUUUCCAGAUAUUUUGUUUUCUCCUAGGACGAGUUGCUGCAGUUGGGUUGAGAGAUUGACAAUGGAGUUGGGUAACACACCCCCAAAAUGAUUGCCUUCUGGAUUGAUUAACCUUAAACCGCUGAUGUUGGUGAGAGAAUUUAGAAAAUUUAAAUCGCCAGACAUUCCCCUUCCUAAACUAUUGAAGUCAAGGGUCAACCAAUACAGAUCCUUGAGCACUCCCAAACUAUCAGGGACUUUCCCAGUUAGAUGAUUGUCACCUAGAUCCAAAAGUUCAAGUCCUGAAAUAUUGGAUAGUGUAUCUGGAAUUAUUCCGGUAAACUGAUUCAUUGCUAUGCCAAACUUGCAGAGUUGAGGAGAACUGAGCCUCAUGUUUGACAUGAAAUUUCCAGACAGAUGGUUGUCAGUUGCUACAAAUUCAAUGACAGAUGACAAAUUAUGGAGGGAGGGAGGAAUCACACCAGACAAGUUAUUUGUACCUAGAUAUAAAUAUCUCGUGCUCUUCAAACGACCUAAUUCAUGUGGAAUAUUUCCCUCCAAAUGUACGCAAUGGACAGCCAAGAUGAAGGGUUUCCCAAAGUAAAUGGAAUAACCCCUCUUAGAUAGUUGGCACCAAGCCAUAGAUGUAGGAGUUUCGACAUAUGGCCAACGUGCAAGGGAAUCUGCCCUGUCAGAUUGUUCCUUGUGAAAUUCACAGUUCUGAAGCUUGAGCAGUUUGUCAGUUCAAUCGGAAUCUCACCUUGGAUAAAGUUCAUGCUCAGAUUGAGAUGUUGCAUCCGUGGCAAAUGGCCAAUAUCACUGGGAUGGUACCGUGCAAGUUAUUGUUGGACAAUUCCAACUCUCUGAGAAAUGUUAAGUUUUCAAUAGGAGGCAAGGAACCAGCUAAUCUCUGACUCUCCAACCUCAAGGCUGUGACCCUCUGAAGUUGGUGACUGCAUGUAACCCCCUCCCACUGGCAGAAGUGCAGAGAGUCAAUACAGGAGCUCAGAUUAAUAAUUGUUUAUGAUUAAGCUAUCUAUACAUAUUCAAUUUAUAUUUAUUAAAUAUGGGUCACCUUGUGUGUAGAGCCCAAGUCACAUGUGUCUUACAUGAUGGGCCUAAAACACAUGUGGCCCAACAACCAAUGGGUAUGGUCCCUAAGACAUAGUGGAAAUUAAUAAAAGGGAAAAUGAAACUGAAGUUUGGUGUCUUAAGUUUUCUUUUCUGAAAAUACAAAACAUUCCCUCUCCUGUCUCCUAUCACAAGAGAAAAAAUAGAAAGGUGGUUUCCUCCUCUAUUUCCAUAGAAAAAUCAUAUUUCUUCAAGAUCGAUAAUGGAUUCAGGUUUGUCUACACUCUCUAAUCUAAUCGGCAUGUUUUCUUUAUGAUUUAACAUGAGAUUUCUACAUUGGGUUGAUAAUGACGUUUACAACAUUGGUUUCUUUAGAUUUCAAUUUAAGGGAUUCAGAUCUAGAACUUCUACAUGAUAUUCUCAUAGCAUCCCUUUGAAAAUGGAGGAAAUGGGAAUUAAAAUGGGCAAAAGUGAUUAAAAUGUAAGUUUGAACUAGAGAUUCAAGCUAUUCAAGAAUCAAACAUUGAGGCACUUGUUUAACUUCUGUCAGUGGUCAAGGAUUGCCAACAUUGUAGUGCAACAGUCAUUAACAAAAGUGGCUUUGACUUGGUAAUUUGUAAGGAUAAUUUGUCUUAUAUAUCUAACGUGUCUAAGGUGUUUUCAGUUUUUUUUUUCCUUUCAUUUUUAAUGGAUUUAUUAUUUCAUUUUAUUUUAUUUUGUGUUUUGUUUUGUUUCUUCACAGUCUAAUAUAUUUUCUUUGCACAUGGGCUACAUCUCAUUCGGUAUUGUUUUAUAAAUUUCUUAUUACCUCUAAAAAUGUAUUUGCAAAUGUAUCCUAAAAUGUUAUUUUUAUUGUUGCUUCUAUAUUUUCAAUUUUGAUUAUUCACUGGGAAUUUAUACAUUGAUGAUGUUUAAUGCUAACCAAGUUAACUUUCCAACAAUAUAAUAAGUUAGGGCAUCAAACUGAGAAAUGAAGGGGUUUCUCUUACUACAGGCAUUCUGGAGGAAUUCUAUUAUCAAGCUGCCUUUAUCAAUGCAGUAGUCAUAGGUCACAAGUUUUCUUUUUACAACUUGAUAUUGUUUUUCUUUGUUAGGUCAGCCUCCAGUACUGCUCUGUGUUUCAUCAAAACUUAGGGAAGUAGUAUAUAUAUAUAUAUAUAUAUAUAUAUAUAUAUAUAUAUAUUGGAGUGAUGAGCAGGGUAGCUGAUGAUGCCAAAAAACUUGGAUAAGGAGCUCUGAAUGGUGAAUUAGUCCAGUUCAAUUUAGGUAGGACCACCAUCAUCACCCGACUAGACCCAUCCCAUAUACUUGCCAUUAUUGAGCUUGGAUGUGUGGGGCUAGCCCACUCCUAUAUGCGAUUAGUUCUUGAAAACUUGGAUAGGAAUGCCAUCAACAGAAAACCUAUAAAGUCAGCAAAAAUUAGAGAUGAAACAAGUUAAAUUUCGUAAACUGAAAAAUGUGGGAACCUAUUAAAGGGUUGCAAAUGCAAUUUGUUUUGGUCGGUAGGUUUUUGAGAUUAGUAGAGAAAAUAAUAUGUUGUGAUAAUAGUUAGUCCAUCAUUAUAUACGACCAAUAGUAUCAGUGAAAGACACACAAGAGCUUCAACUAGAAUGCAUGUUAUAUGUAAUAAACUGUAUAGAACUCUCAAACCCAGUGGUACUUAAGCUCCUAGCAUCUGUUUCGACUGGGAAUCUGCAAUAAAAACCUUCUACCAAAUCACUGUUUCGUGUUGAAGGAAGAGAUUACAUUUGGAUUUGGGAGCAUUGACAAGCCCCAGACUACGUGUAUAUCAAUAUACUCUGGGUUUCAUGGGCCUACAAACAAGAAAUCAUAGGUUUUGGAAUAGAAUACCAAAGGUAAGUUCCAGAUGAAGUGUUCUAGUGUUCUUUGUUGUUAUCAUUAUUAGCCUUCUUUUCUUUCUUUCUGUUUUUUGUUUUUUCCUUCUUUAUUACGAAGAAGGUCAUGAUUUCUUUCUUGAAACAAGUUUGCAGGAAUGACAAGGGGAAGGAGGUUGUGUCAGAUAGGGUAUGCAUUUUAGAGGUGCAAAUUAUUGAAGUUUUUGGGAUUUGACUCAUCUUUGUAACAUUAUUAUUUCCCUUAGAUUGUUCUUUAGAUGCAUGCAAUGUCAACAGUUUAAAUAUGAAAUUCAUGGCUGAUAAAAGGCCCUCCCUUAUACCGGCUGUGGAUUUUAAAACCAUCUCUCACAUGACAUGCACUCAUGCUAUGGCACGACCUGUUGAGAUAAUCGAGGGAAGGGAUACUUUAAUACAUUUUAAGAAAAUGGUUGUCUUACUUAAUUUGAUAUGUUCCAAAGGAUUUUAUAGGAAGGGAAGCCUGGAGUGGGAUCAAACCAUGGCUUAAAUCCUCUGCUCCCUCUUUCCUACACCAUUUACAAAGACAUUGGUCUGUGGAUGAUGUGGGUCUUGUUCUCUAGAUUGCCCAAAAGCUCAAAAUCCAAGUCAAAACAAUUUACAUUAGAAAUCAACACCGGAAUGAGUUUCUUCAUGUUGCUCUUUGUUUUAGUCACACACUCAUCUUACAUAGAAAGCUGUCACAACCCUCCCUAAAGAGUUACUCCCAAGUAGCAUCAAAUGCAUGUGGAAGAACCCAACCCACAUCCAAAAGUCUCCAGUGAUGAUUCAAAGGCCCGCCCUGUUUACCAUAAAGUAAUUACGAUUAAGACUCUAGAUAUAGAAACCCUUGAUAAGUUUGUUAUGAUGGCAGUAGAAAGAGAAAUAAAGUUGAACGAAAUGAGCAGAGGCAUGGUCGAGAACAAUGUUUUUGGAACUGGAUCAUUUAUUGAAUUGAAAAAAUUACGGGUUUAUGGUUUAAUGGUCAAACCGGUCAUUGAACCGAGUUUAAAUCGGUGAGGUCAUAAAUAUAUAAUUUAUAUAUUAAAAAAUAAAUUAAAAAUUUUUAAUAUAAAGAAAUUAAAAAAUAAUAAUAUUUAUUUUUCAUCUUUGAUAUUAUUAAACUUAAAUCAUGAAUAAAUAUAAAUGUAUUAAUAUUUUAAUUUUUUAAAAUAAAAUAUGUAUAAUCUUUAAAUGUGAAGAAAUAUAUUAAAAUAGAAGAAAAUUCUUUUAUUUAUAUUAUAUUAUUUUCUUAUAUUAAAAAAAAUUAAAUAAUUAUGUUGAUUUAGUUUAUUUUGAAAUUUUAAAGAACAACCAUUAGUAGUAAAGUGGUCAUAGUCCUGACAUGUGAAUUUUAUGGAUUUUUUAAAACUCAUCCCACAUAGGAAGUUGAUAAGGAGAAUGCCUUUAACUGUCCAUUUCAUGAUAUAAUAAGCAUGCAAGAGGGCUCAAGACAGAGCCUUGUCCUGGUAAAAAAGGUCAACCUAGAACCAAUGGUUCAAAACUAGUUCAAUGUGUACUUCAGCCCAAAGGCUAUGGACUGAACCGAACCAAGCUUUGGUCAAUGGUUGGACCAAUCAGACUAGUUGGUCCAGUCGGAACUUUGUAUAUUUUCUCAAAGGUAGGGCCGCUUUGGGUAUUUGCAAGUAUUGUCUCAUCUAAAACUAAUGGUUAGAAACUCAAUAAAUAACUUGACUCUCUUUUUGUAUAUAUUAUUUUUUGAAAACUAUACUUGCACCUAAAUCAAAAUAUAUCAUCAUCAAUUAUACAAUAUCAUAUAUAUAUAUAUAUAUAUAUAUAUAUAUAUAUAUACAUAUUUAAUUGGACUUCUUAUUAUCUUAAUAUCGUAUAUUUAGAGCUCAUUUAAUUGUGUGAUUUAAAAAUAGUUUUUAGUUAUUAAAAAUAAAAAAUUGUUUUUAAUAUCAUUUGACGGUUGUUCUCUGAAAAUGAUUUUUAAAAAUAAAAUGAAAUAAAGAACAAUUUUUAGGAAACAAAUAAAGUUAUUUUCAUAAAUUUUAAAAAAUAAAAAUAAAAUAUGAGUCCGUUUAAUUAUGUUUUUAAAAAUUUGUUUUUAAGUUAAAGAAUAAAAAAUAGUUUUUAAAAACAAAUUUAAAAAACAUGGUAAAAAAAGACUGUUAUACUCUCAUUCAAAUGAUCAAGAUUUUGACUUCAGUUCCAUAUGUUGGUAUAUUAAAAUUUUUCUAUAUUAAAAAAUUUGGAUAUGAAUCAUAUGAUACUAUAAGUUGGUGCCAUGAAUGUUUCCUGAAAAACAAGAAAGGAAGAAGGGGGGAAGCCGGAAAGGUGCGGCGGUGGUGAGAAAAGCGAUGAUAUGAUAUAAUUUUUUGUAUUGCAUCAAAGUUUUCAAUAAAAUUCUAAGCAACCAUGAAAGUUGUUCAUCAUGUACCUGACACUUUGGACCGAGAUGAUGGCUCCUUUUUGGCUUCUAUUUCAUGUCACGUGCCUCGAAUAAUGUUAAAAAUAAAAAAAAUUAAAUAUAUACAUAUUUUAUAUUAUUCCAUAAAGUUGUGUUGAAAAUAUCAAUAUAUGUUAUUUAAAUUAUUCCUUAUUUUAUGUUUUAAGUUUUAAAUUAUUCCUACACCGUUUUGUAAUUUACUUUUUCUCAAAAUAUGUUUUAAGUUUUAACCACCUCGAAAAUCUUAUGUAAAACUUUCAUAAAUGAUUAAAAAAAUUAAUAACAUACAUUAGGUUGAGUGUUUUUUUAAUAAAUAAUUUAAUAAUGAAACCCAUAUAAAAUAAAUGUUAUUUAAAUUAUUCCUUAUUUUAUAUUUUUCUAAAACUCAAUAAAUAAUUUUUUGUAAUGGUAUUUCUCAAAAAGUUUAAACUCCUUAAUUUCAAAUAUUAUUUUUCUAACCAUAAAUCAUCUUUGAAAUAAAUAUUUUAAAAAUGAUAGUUUGAUUUAUCAUUUAAAUGUAAGUGUUUUAUAUAAAUUAUUUUAAAUUAACAUAAAAACUUUUUAGUUAUUAUUUGUUAGAAUUUUCAUAUUCUUUCAAAAGAGUAUAAAGUUCGUGUUAUUAAUUGUAUUUUUUUUCCUAUUAUUAUGCUUUUUAUAUAAUUUUUUUUUAAUUGGAUGAGUAAAAAAAAUAUUUAAAUAUAAAAUCUUAUAAAAAAGAAAUAAAAAUUUAUUAAACAACAAAUAUGAAUUUUUUGCUUUUAUAUUCUUUAUUAUUUAAAGUUUGUUUAUAUAGUUAUUACACCAACAUUGGCCUCACGAUGGAUUGAGCAAAACAUUUUCAAUAACCACUCAAUUAAUAUAAAGGAAAAAGAAAUCUAAAGAAGAGGCAAGAGAAAAGACUGGAGCACAUCCUCUCCACCACAAAACUAAAAAGCAUCUUAUUCAAACAUAAGUUUGUCUUAUCCUAUCCAACGUCAUCAUCCAACCAAGGAAAUGCAUUAUUAUUAUUUUUUUAUUUUUAUUAAAAAAAAAUAGAAAUUAAAGAAGAGACAAGGGAAAGGACAUAUGCAGCCCCCUCCAGGGCCUCCACCACACAACCUUGCCGUGAAGGGUGGUUUUCCCAAAACAGACUGUAAACGGAGCUGACAGCCAAAACUGUCAUAGCAUGGAUGUCAUUGUACUUACAUGGCAUGGAUGUCAUCAUAUGCGUCAUGGAAAUUUAGUUUUAUUUAAUUUUUAUUUAUUUUACUCCUUUUUAAAAUAAAAAAAUUUUGAUUAAAAAAAUUAAAAUUUUAGCUGACAGAGAGAAUUUAAAAAUGUAAAUAACAUACCAUAAAAUAAUAUUAAUAUAGAACAUUAUUCAAUAUAAAUAAAAUGCUUUUAUAUAUCUAAUAGCAUAAUGUAAUGUUUUUUUAUUUAUAAAUUCUAAAUAUUUUAAACACAAAUGUUAUUAUCAAAGAAAUAAAAAAAAUUAUUUACUAAAUUUUCAUUUAUACACUUCAUUUUGUCUAGUUUCAAAAAUAGAAAAUAAUAAUAACUUUACUUUUAAAACUUUACAUUAAAAAACUAAUGAUUUUUUAAAACUAUUUUAAAAAUAAAGGUAUUCAUAAAAAUUUAAUAUCUUAAAUUUAAAAUUUUUUGAAAGUUAUUUUUAAAAUUAUAAACUUGGUCUACACUUUUUGUAUAAGAGGAUUUUUUUUUUUUUAUAAGUUCUUACUAUUUUUUUAAAAUUAAAAAAAAACACCAAGAAGUAUGUCCAAAUGGACAUGAAAUUAUAAAUUAUCAAAUGAUUUUCAAAUAGUUGAGAAAGAUUUUCUAUAUAUAUUGUAGACCUGGUUGGCUGGGGGCCCCAAGGAGCAAGAGAUUGCUUCUUUUUCUUUAGAAAAGUGGGUGAGAUUGGAUAGGGGAGGACGGGAGCAGCUGGGAGAUUGGAGGGGGGAAAAGAAAAUGAUAAGAGAAGGGAAGUGGCAGCAGAUUGGAGGGGGGGUUUUUGGGUAGAAAAAAAAAUAUGGGAAGGAAAAUCUUGAAGAGAGAAAAUGGGCAGCAGCUAGGGGAGAAGAAGGAAACCGGGCAGCACAUGCACUGGAGAGGAAAACCGGGCAGCACAUGCAUUGGAGAGGAAAACCGGGCAGCACAUGCAUUGGAGGAGAUUUUGGGCAGCACAUGCAUUGAAAGAAGAAAAAAAAUCUGGGGACAAGAGAGGAAACCGGGCACCAAAUAGACCUUUCUUCAACCUCUCGGCCUCUCUCUUUGUUUUCCAUCUCCGGGUACUUUCUUUUCUCCACUCCAUGCUUGUUUUUUUUAACUUCUUUUCUAAGCUCAUUGUUGGAUAUAUAGGGUGAGGAUGAUAUGAGUUUAUUUAGGUUCUUAUUAUUGGAGCUUUGUUCUACCAUCUUCACCGCCAACCUGCCACCACUGAUCUUCAACCCGGAAUUUUUUUUAAAAAAAGAGUGAAACCAUCUUUUGAUCUUUGAAUGAAUAUUUUAGGCAAUGGGUUUUGUUGGUGGGCUCCCAAGGCAUUGACUUGUGGGUUUAAAUAGGUUCAUGUGGGCCUUAAGCCCUUUUCUUUUAGUUUGGGCCGGAUGGGUAAUGUUUGUUUGGGUCUCCUAGGUUGGGCUUUGCUGAAGCUGAAGGUUAUUUGGCACUUUUUUUUAUGGGCUUGAGAUGGAGCCCAAGGCUCUUUUAAUGAAUGGACAUGGGCCUUUUUUUUAUGAAUGGACAUGGGCUUGAUGGAGAGAUGGAGCCCAAGGCUCUUUUAAUGAAUGGACAUGGGCCUUUUUUUUAUGAAUGGACAUGGGCUUGAUGGAGAUGGAGCCCAAGGCUCUUUUAAUGAAUGGAGCCCAAAGCUCUUUUAAAGAAUGGACACGGGCUUAUGGACUUGGGCUUGGUGUAGAUGGAGCCCAAAGCUCUUUUAAUGAAUGGAUGUGGGCUUGGUGUAAAUGGAGCGCAGAGCUCUUUUAAUGAAUGGACUUGGGCUUGAUGGAGAUGGAGCCCAAGGCUCUUUUAAUGAAUGGACAUGAGUUUCUUUUAAUGAAUGGACAUGAGUUUCUUUUAAUGAAUGGACAUGGGCUUGAUGGAGAUGGAGCCCAAAGCUCUUUUAAUGAAUGGACUUGGGCUUGAUGGAGAUGGAGGCCAAGACUCUUUUAAUGAAUGAAGCCCAAAGCUCUUUUAAUGAAUGGACUUGGGCUCAUAGACUUGGGCUUAUGAUGGGGAUGGAACCCAAAGCACUUUCAAAAUCUUAUUAUUAUUAUUAGUCUUAUUAUUAUUAUUAUUAUUAAUUCAAACUUUCAAAAUCUUAUUAUUAUUAUUAUUAUUAUUAUUAAUUCAACUUUCAAAAUCUUAUUAUUAUUAUUAUUAUUAAUUCAAACUUUCAAAAUCUUAUUAUUAUUAUUAUUAUUAUUAUUAUUAUUAUUAUUAUUAUUAUUAUUAUUAUUAUUAUUAUUAAUUCAAACUCUCAAAAUCUUAUUAUUAUUAAUUCAACUUUCAAAAUCUUAUUAUUAUUAUUGAUCUUAUUAUUAUUAUUAUUAUUAUUAUUAAUUCAAACUUUCAAAAUCUUAUUAUUAUUAUUAUUACAAAUUCAACUUUCAAAUGUCGAUGUUUUCGCAGUUCAAUUUCCUAAAGUCCAUUUCUCAUUUUCUUUAACAAAUUUCCAUUUAAUCACCGGAGCUCUAAUCUUUUAAAUUUAAUUCCAAAUACUCCAAUUUUCAAAUAAACUACAAGAAUCCAGUUUUCACUCGAAUAGUUUUAAUCCCAUUUCAGUUCCUAAAUAAUCUUCUGAUCUUCUUGAUUUUACAUAAGCAAUAAUGAUUCCUUCAUAAUUCUAAAACACGGGAUUUGUGAGAUUAGCUCAUGAACAAUAAAUUAGGCUUUGUUGGGGGCCCUAUGUUUGAUCCCUUUUGACUGUCAAUUGUUGUGCUUAAUAUAUUUUGCUUGAGCUUCGUUUUGCACUCCGAUAUGCAUGGGCUAUACUUUGUAUUCAUUAAUUGUGCACUAAUCUCGUUUCUUGAUAGCGCAUUGUGGCUCGUGGCCAAGGUACACAUCCACUCCCAUUCUAGUCAAUCUCUAUUGUGUGUUUUGAUUUUCAUAUUAUGCAUGAUUUAGGUGCGUAUCCAUUGACUUUCUCGUUGAUCGUCGCGUCAGUUUCAUUUUAUUAGUAGAGACCCAUUUUAGAGACUUAGAGAGGUGUUAUGGUCUUUACCGUACCUUCCCGAUAAGUAACCUGACCCCCGAACCCGAUCCGGUUUUUCGUAGACCACAUUUUCCAAAAUAAGGAGUCACACUUAGGGUUUUUCUUUCUUAUUUUGUUUACCCUUUAAAAAUAAAACAAAAAUAAGUGUUUCAAUCAAUUAAAUCAUUUUUCAAAUAAAAAUCGAGCUCGCCAUUCGAGUGGGAAACGCAUGAGCCGAAAUGCGAGGUCCACAAUAUAUAUAUAUAGGUUUUUCGUAGACCACAUUUUCCAAAAUAAGGAGUCACACUUAGGGUUUUUCUUUUUUAUUUUAUUUACCCUUUAAAAAUAAAACAAAAAUAAGUGUUUCAAUCAAUUAAAUCAUUUUUCAAAUAAAAAUCGAGCUCACCAUUCGAGUGGGAAACGCAUGAGCCGAAAUGCGAGGUCCACAAUAUAUAUAUAUAUAUUUAUAUAUAUAUAAUAGGAAUGCAAUAUAUUUUUUAUUUUAAAAAAAUGGAUGUUGAGAUGUAAUAAAAUUUCUAUUAUAUUUUUUAUUCCUUUUAUAAAUUAAAUAUAAACAUGCAAUAAAAUAUUAUGUUGGAUUUAAUAUCUAAAAUACCAUUAUCACUUUAGAUAUAGUAUAUUAAGAUUUGAUUAUGUUAUGUCUUAUUUUAUCCAUCAAUUAAAUGCAUCCUCCAUAUUUUAUACCGAUCUUGCACAUGGAAAAGGCAAAAUGGAACUAAUUAGGCCACGUCAUAUAUGUAAUUUAAGUUUUAUCAUGUUAUACACUAGGUCUUUAACUUUGUACCUCAAAUAUGAUUUUAGUACUUUGUACCUUGACCUCAUUCUUGUUAGCAUCUUUAUUCAAAGCUCUAAAUUUUAUCAUAAACUUUGAAUGACUGCUUGGAUUUGAACUUCAAUAGAUGUCAAUUUGGUACCUUAGACCUUUUCGGAUCUUAAAAACAUAAAAGAAAAAUAAAAUUUUAAAUAAUGAAUUUGAAGAAAAAUGAUACCUUUGAUCUUAAUUUGAAGAAAAAAAGAAUGAAAUUGUGUGGACCCCGCAUUUCGGCUCAUGCGUUUCCCACUAGAUGGUGAGCUCAAUUUUCAUUUGAAAAAUGAUUUUUAUUGAUUAAAAAAAUGACUUGGAGUCGCCACUUAUUUUUGUUUUAUUUUUAAAAGGGUAAACAAAAUAAGAAAGAAAACCCUAAGCGCGACUCCUUAUUUGGAAAAGGUGAUCUACGAAAAACCGGAUCGGGCUCGGGGGUCAGGUUACUUAUUGGGAGGGUACGGUAAAGACCAUAGUACUCCUCUAAGUCCCUAAAGCCGGGUCUCUACUAAUACAAUGAAACUGACGUGGCAAUCAACGAGAAAGUCAAUGGAUACUCACCUAAAUCAUGCACAAUAUGAGAAUCAAAAACACGCAAUAGAGAUUGACUAGAAUGGGAGUGGAUGCGUACCUCGGCCACGAGCCACAAUGCGCUAUCAAGAAACGGGAUUAGUGCACAAUUAAUGAAUACAAAACAUAGCUCAUACAUAUCGGAGUGCAAAACGAAGCUCAAGCAAAAUACAGUAAGCACGAUAAUUGACAGUCAAAAGGGAUCAAACAUAGGGCUUCCAACAAAGCCUGAUUUAUUAUUCAUGAGCUAAUCUCACAAAUCACGUGUUUUAGAAUUAUGAAGGAAUCACUAUUGCUUAUGUAAAAUCAAGAAGAUCAAAAGAUUAUUUAGGAACUAAAAUGGGAUUAAAAACUAUUCGAGUGAAAACUGGAUUAUUGGAGCUUGUUUGAAAAUUGGAGUAUUUGGAAUUAAAUUUUAAAUAUUAGAGUUCCGGUGAUUAAAUUGAAAUUUGUUAAAGAAAAUGAGAAACGGACUUUAGGAAAUUGAACUGCGAGACCAUAGACUUUUGAAAGUUGAAUUUAUAAUAAUGAUAGUAAUAAGGUCUUGAGAGUUUGAAUUAAUAAUAAUAAUAAUAAUAAGAUUUCGAAAGUCUGAAUUAAUGAUAAUAAUAAUAAUAAUAAGAUUUUGAAAGUGUGAAUUAAUAAUAAUAAUAAUAAUAAGAUUUUGAGAAUCGAAUUAAUGAAAAUAAUAAUAAUAACAAUAAUAAUAAUAAGAUUUUAAAAGUUGAAUUAAUGAUAAUAAUAAUAAUAAUAUUUUGAAAGUUGGGUUAAUAAUAAUAAUAGUAGGAUUUUGAAAGUUAAAUUAAUAAUAAUGAUAAUAAUAAGAUUUUGAAAGUUGAAUUAAUAGUAAUAAUAAUAAUAAGAUUUUGAGAGUUUGGAUUAAUGAUAAUAAUAAUAAAAAGAUUUUGAAAGUGUGAAUUAAUAAUAAUAAUAAUAAUAAUGAGAUUUUGAGAGUUUAGAUUAAUGAUAAUAAUAAAUAGAUGUUGAAAGUGUGAAUUAAUAAUAAUGAUAAUAAUGAGAUUUUGAAAGUUGGGUUAAUAAUAAUGAUAGUAAUGAGAUUUUUGAAAGUUGGGUUAAUAAUAAUAAUAAUAGGACUUUGAAAGUUUGGAUUAAUGAUAAUAAUAAUAAUAAUAAAUAGAUGUUGAAAGUGUGAAUUAAUAAUAAUGAUAAUAAUGAGAUUUUGAAAGUUGGGUUAAUAAUAAUAAUAGUAAUGAGAUUUUUGAAAGUUGGGUUAGUAAUAAUAACAAUAGGAUUUUGAAAGUUUGGAUUAAUGAUAAUAAUAAUAACAAUAAAUAGAUUUUGAAAGUUGAGUUAAUAAUAAUAAUAAGAUUUUGAGAGUUUGGAUUAAUGAUGAUAAUAAUAAUAAUAAAUAGAUGUUAAAAGUGUGAAUUAAUAAUAAUGAUAAUAAUGAGAUUUUGAAAGUUUGGAUUAAUCAAUAAUAAUAAUAACAAUGAUAAUAAUAAUCAAUAAUAAUAAUAAUAAUAAUAAUAAUAAUAAUAGGCUUGGGUCUGGGCUCCAAAUUCAAACCCAAGCCCAAAGCCAAAACCAAACACAAAAUUGGGCCUAGUGCCUUAUCUCAAGCCCAAACCAAAUCUUCAUCUUCUUCCUAGCUUCUUCACAGCCCAACAGCAUCUUCUCCAUCUGGGCAACUCCUUUAGGAUAUCUCCACCAGCGUCGGGAUGGUGGAGAUGCGUGGCUUUUGAAGCCACGGCACCAGCCGGUGGACGUCUCUGCUAAUGGCGUCGUCGACCAUGCCGCGGGAGCAGUCGAAGAGGACGGCGAGCAGGCCGCCGUCGACAGCCUAGAGAGAGGCGUCCCGAACCGAAGCAGCAACGCCGAACUCCAAAGGUGGCUCCGGCGAGGUCUGUGGGGAAUGGAAGGCUUGCUUGGCUGCUGCCCGCUCCCAGCCACUGAAGAGGACUUGCGCACAUGGAGGUGUGAGUGAUGGUGAUUAUACGGGCAUAGAGAAAGAAAAGGUGGCGAGAAAUGGGAUUGGCGUGGAGAUGGGUAUGGAAAGCUGGGUGAGUGGAAUCAAACGGGUAUUAAAAUCAAGAUAUGCUUACGGGAAUCUCAUGAGGAAUCUGAAACAAUACUAAAUUUAUCUUCAAUAAGAACCAAAUAAAUAAUGAACCUGAACAUGCUAUAACCCCAUCAAACCAUUCUAAAGCUCAGCUGAGAUGCACAUAUGGCAUUGGACUUCUAUUCCCAUUCAACUAAUAGCAUCCAAUAGUCAACAAAGAUAGAGAAGAAAAACAGAUAAGUUGAAACGAAGUGGAAAAAUCCAUAAUAUUCAUACCUGAGGACAUUCUUCUUUUUCCAGAUGGGUUGGCUUCCUUACUGCUCUUUCUCCCCCAAAAGUCUCUCCUCAAAUAUCCUCCAACGACCAGCCCAGAGCUCCUCCUCCGCAGCUGAAAAAAAACUCUCUCCCUAAAACCAGGAAGACCCUUGCCCCUCUGCUGCUGCUCGCCACCUCAAAAUGACCCCCCCCCCCCCCCCCCCCCCCCUCUGCUCACUCUUCCAGAUGGCAGAAAAAGCUCUCUGCUCCUCCUGAAUCCAUCUCUCUCUAGCCGCCAGCCCAGAAAGCUCUGCCUCCCCCCGCAGCUUCAGAGCCCCCCAACCGUUUUUCUUCUCACGGUCUUUUCAUCCCUUUUCUUUUCUCUCUGUCAAGCUUCUAUUGGUUCCUCAAAAGCCCAUCUGAAUCUUCAACAGCCAAUCCGGGAGUGACACGUGGCUGCCUAAGAGCGCGACACUUGGCCAAAAACUAAUUGCAAAAAAUGAUUUAGAUAUAUCCCAAUUUGGGGGUCUACAAAUUGAAAGAGACAACAAUUAAAAUAUGAAUAAGGAAAAUAGGAAAAUGAAAUUUAUUAUAAUUUUUCAUCUUUUUUUGUUUGGUCUUUUAUUUCCUCAAUUUUUUUUUUGUAUUUAAAUAUAAGAAAAUCACAUUCCUUAAUAUUAUUUUCUUAUUUUUUUAAUAUUUUUUAAAAAUCAAACUGUGGACUCGGUAUUUUUCACGUGCGUCCCCAUUCGAUGGCGAGAUUUAUUUGGUGAAAAUUCGAUUUUUUGAAAAAGACUUGGAGUCGUCACUUAGUUUUAUUUUAUUUUUUUAAGGGAAAAACAAAAUAAGAAAUAAAAACCCUAAAUGUGACUCCUAAAUGAAAAACAGGUUUGCGAAAAACCGAAUUUGGGUUCGGGAGUCAGGUUACCUAUUGGAAAUGUAUGGUAAUGAAUUGUAACACCCCUUUAAUCCCGCAUACAUACGGUCUCUACUAAACGAAUUAAGAGAAUUGUGACAAUUAAUUAAUUAAUUAUGUAUACUAAGAAAAAUAACAUAUAAAAUUAUGGUAAAAAUCAAUAUACACAAAAAUAAUGAUGAAAUCUAAUUAAAAGAAUACACAAAAUAAAUGACAAAAGAAUUAUGCAAAAUGAUUUAUUUAAAUAAAUAAGAUAUUAAAAAAAUAUUUUUUUUCAAGAAAUUUCAAAGGAUUUUAUUAAAAACAAUUUUGAAUGAGUGAUUUCAAUUUAUUUAUUUACAAAAAAAAAGUCAAUUUAUUUUCUCAAUUUCAUUUGUAUUCAAUUUUUAGAAAAUUUAUUUACACUUAUUGUAUCAAAAGAAUUUAUUACAAAAUUUCAAUUUUGCAACAAAAAAAAUAUUUUUACUUGUUUUUUUAAAAAAAAGAACUUUUAUAAUUUUAUUUACAAAAGUAUUUGAAUUUGUUUUCAUUUAAGAAAAGUUACUUAUACAAUAUACACACACAUAUAUAUAUAUAUAUAACUUUAUUUGCAAAAGAAUUUUUAAAUAAAAAUUAAAUUUUUGGACAACUUUAUUUACAAAACAAUUUUUGGACAUUUUUUACUAAACAAAGAAUUUUUUAGACAAUGAUUAUUAAAAAACAAAUUUUUAAAUGCUAUUAAAAACAUUUUUUUGGAUUUUUCUAAAAGCAUUUUUCUGAAUUUUUAUUAAUAAUAAAAACUUUCUUUUACUUAGAAGAAUAUUUUAAAAUUAUUAUUUUAUUAAAACAUAUUUACUGAAUUAUUCUUUUUAUUUAAACAAAAUCUCUUAUUUGUUCGAAAUUCGAUUUUGUAAACACUCAAUAAAUAUUUACAAAUAAAUAUUUAUAGAAACUAGUAAAAAUAAAAUCAAAUAAAAUUGGGAAAUAAAACCUGUAUUCAAAUAAGCUUACAACAAGUUCAAUGUCUUCCUAAAACUUUUUUAUUCUCACUUUCUUCCAUGAAAUUUCAUACUCCACGCGUCAUAAAUUUGUACUCAGCCAACAAAAUUGUAGAAUAGACCCAUGCAAAAACAAAAAUAGCCCAAAUGUAAAUAUUCAAAGAUGUACAAAAUCCCAAACAAAUAUUCAAACCAAAAUUUAAAUUUCAAAUUAAUCUUAUAAAUUUCGUUAAUUAAAAUAAGUCCAAAUUACUAUAGGUUUUAGCCUAAAAUAUUCAAAUUAAUAACAAAAAAUACAAACACAAUCAACCAAACCUAAACCGAGAAGGAGAGUACCUCAACCGAGAAGGGAAGGUUACUGGAUGAGAGAAAAUGUUUUUGACACUUCUCGACCAGACCUUGAUCGGACAAGGGCAACCGAUCAACCGGUUCCCUGGUCGGUUGAGCCGGUUGGCCAAUGCCUCGACUGGUUCAGCCUUUUGGCCCCAAAAACCUAUCUUUUUCGGUUCUUUUCCUUUCCAAUACUUACGUAAGGUAUUUAGGUAAAUUAAUAUGUCAAUUUUGAAACGUUUUGCCUAAGGUACAUGUGGACCCCGUAUUUCGGCUCAUGCGUUUCCCACUCGAUGGCGAGCUCGCUUUUUAUUCGAAAAAUGAUUUUAUUGAUUAAGAAAAUGACUUGGAGUCGCCACUUAUUUUUGUUUUAUUUUUAAAAGGGUAAACAAAAUAAGAAAGAAAACCUUAAGCGUGACUCUUUAUUUUGAAAAAGGUGGUCUGUGAAAAACCAGAUCGGGCUCGGGGGUCAGGUUACUUAUCAGGAAGGUACGGUAUAAACCAUAACAUUCCUCUAAAUCCUUAAAGUUGGGUCUCUACUAAUACAAUGAAACUGACGUGGCAAUCAACGAGAAAGUCAAUGGAUACUCACCUAAAUCAUGCACAAUAUGAGAAUCAAAACACGCAAUAGAGAUUGAUUAGAAUGAGAGUGGAUGCGUACCUCGGCCACGAGCCACGAUGUGCUAUCAAGAAAUGAGAUUAGUGCACAAUUAAUGAAUACAAAACAUAGCUCAUGCAUAUCGGAGUGCAAAACGAAGUUCAAGCAAAAUACAUUAAGCACGACAAUUGACAGUCAAAAAGGGAUCAAACAUAGGGCCCCCAAUAAAACCCAAUUUAUUGUUCAUGAGCUAAUCUCACAAAUCCCGUGCUUUAGAAUUAUGAAGGAAUCAUUAUUGCUUAUGUAAAAUCAAGAAGAUCAGAAGAUUAUUUAGGAACUGAAAUGGGAUUAAAACUAUUUGAGUGAAAACUAUAUUAUUGGAGUUUAUUUGAAAAUUGGAGUAUUUGGAAUUAAAUUUAAAAUAUUAGAGCUCCGGUAAUUAAAUUGAAUUUGUUAAAGAAAAUGAGAAACGGACUUUAGGAAAUUGAACUGCGAGACCAUAGACUUUUGAAAGUUGAAUUUGUAAUAAUAAUAAUAAUAAUAAGAUGUUGAAAGUUUGAAUUAAUAAUAAUAAUAAUAAUAAUAAUAAUACUAAUAAGAUUUUGAAAGUUGAAUUAAUAAUAAUAAUAAUAAUAAUAAGAUUUUGAGAGUUUGAAUUAAUAAUAAUAAUAAUAAUAAGAUUUCGAAAGUUCUAAUUAAUGAUAAUAAUAAUAAUAAUAAUAAUAAUAAGAUUUCGAAAGUUUGAAUUAAUAAUAAUAAUAAUAAUAAUAAGAUUUUGAAAGUGUGAAUUAAUAAUAAUAAUAAUAAUAAGAUUUUGAAAGUUGAAUUAAUAAUAAUAAUAAUAAUAAUAAGAUUUUGAGAGUUUGAAUUAAUAAUAAUAAUAAUAAGAUUUUGAAAGUUGAAUUAAUAAUAAUAAUAAUAAUAAGAUUUUGAGAGUUUGAAUUAAUAAUAAUAAUAAUAAGAUUUCGAAAGUUCUAAUUAAUGAUAAUAAUAAUAAUAUAAUAAUAAUAAGAAGAAAUGAACUUUAGGAAAUUAAGUUGCGAGGAUAUAGAUUUUUAAUAAUAAUAAUAAUAAUAAUAAUAAUAAUAAUAAUAAUAAUAAUAAUAAGAAUUAAAAUUAAUAAUAAUAAUAAUAAUAAUUAAAAUUAAUAACAAUAACAAUAUUAAUAUAUGUUAAUAAUAAUAAUAAUAAUAUCUUAUAAUAAUAAUAAUAAUAAUAAGAAUUAAAAUUAAUAAUAAUAAUAAUAAUAAUAAUAAUGAUAAUAAUAAUAAUAAUAAUAAUAAUAUCACUAAUAAUAAUAAUAAUUAAAAUUAAUAACAAUAACAAUAUUAAUAUCCGUUAAUAAUAAUAAUAAUAAUAUCUUAUAAUAAUAAUAAUAAUAAUAAUAAUAAUAAUAUCACUAAUAAUAAUAAUAAUAAUAAUAAUAAUAAUAAUAAUAGCCUUUGGACGUCCACGAUCGGCGUUGCUUCGGACGCCGCUGUCCCCGUGGUGGGAUUUCACCACGCAAAAAAAAACUUCACCACGCGAAGAAAACUGGCCUGGAAUCAUACACAUGCCUGAAAAUCCUCCAGGGCUUCGACCACAAAACACACUGCAUGGAUGGCAGCCUCUCGUCGCUGCUCCGCCCAGAUCAGUACCUCCAAGGCCGCUUCGCCCAAGAACGAAGGAGUCGCAGUUCGGGGACCUGGAGCAUUGCCGACGAGCAUUGAUAGGAAAUCAGCCCGGAAGUCUUUUCUACAACAGGUCAGAGAGCUGACUUCCAUCUUCAAUGUAUGAAGAGUGUCAUCAGAUUAUCCAGUGGCGGGGUUCCAGAGGAUUAGAUAGUUUGGAAUCCCAGUAAGUCCCAGGUUCAAGCUUGGAAAUGGGUCAGUUAUCAAAACCAAAAUUUGUCUUAGAAGUUUUCUCAAUCGCACAAUGAGAGAUAGUGUCAUUUUUCCUUAUAAGGUUAGCAAUCUGCAUGCAUUUUAUGAGGGUGGAUGGAAGGUGCCCCUUUCACAAAGGCACUUCUCCAGUUUCGGUAACUCGGCCAUUGAUGGCCUCAUUCCCACAACCAACAAAGGAGCAAAGCAAUGAACAGAGAGGAGAAACAGCAGAGAACAAAACAUGAUUUUUAUAUAAUAAGAUUCAAGGAUGAAUUCAUACGUUAGGUACUUAUGGAAGGAGUCAAGAAAACCGAAAUAGAGUCAAAUAGAGCACAUACGCAUAUGGACAAAUUCAGCAAAACAAAACAAUAAUCCUUGACACCCAUACCAACCAACAAACCACUCCCAGAAAUCAACAGAAGGAUUUUAGUUAGCAGAACAAUAUCAUAACGUGAAAACAUGAAGUUCACAGAGAUUUUACCUAGAAGUUUUCUCCACGAGCAAGGUAUGUUCGUCUCUCCGCACCUUCCUCAUUUUCCCCUCAUUUUUUCCUCCUUCCUCCCUCUCUGCCAAAGAAAACCCCUUCCCGAAAGUCAACACCUAUUGCGCUAUUCACCACCUCAGCAUCUGUGGAGUCCCAACCACCCCCAUGGCUGCGGUCCUCUUCAUUGCCACGCGCCCCAUGCAUGGAGUUUUCUCUCAGCCGGUCCCCCCACUUAGGAAUGGUAAUUUCACGGGUUUUCCGGGUCACCCGCCUGACCCGCCCCUAUUGGGACGAGUAUAAGAACAUGGCAAUCGGGGAUGGGCCGGGUUCAGGCUUUUUUUAAAAACCUGAAUCGGGUUCGGGGCGGGGUCGGGUGUAGUUAUAAUUUGACCCGCCCCGCCUCGCCCCGCCCCGCCCCGAAUAUGAAAUUACAACUUUGUCCCCCACUUAUAAAUAUUAGCUUCCUCUCCUCAUUUCAGGUCUUCUUCUCUCAGUUCUCGUUCCUGUCUACGCUAGGGUUUUUCCUCCCACUCAAUGCAAAAAUCCAUCAAAUAAUCCAUUCGAAAAUCCAUCAGAUAUUUGCCUCUUCGUAUUCACCAUAUUUGUGGCCUACCAUCCCGGGGUUUUGUGGAGCCGUUUGGACGAUUUCUUUACUAGGUUUCAUCUCAAGGACUACGCUGUUUCGGAGGCAUCGAGGGAUUAUAGGAGGUUGGUGUAUGAGUUUUCAAAGAUGGGUUGUUUGAGAAAAAGGGGCAUGGGGUGUUUGUCACGCUCUGUGCGAUGGCGAUGAUGUUCUCCGCCUGUAUUUAUGGGGUUCUGGGGUGUGACAGCACAUGGGUUCAUAUCGCCAGUGGCACUUUGAUGGGCCUUUUCUGGAUUCAGAGUGGGUGGAUUGGGCACGAUUCUGGGCACUACUAGUGAUGAUGAACAAGCGUUUGAAGUUUGAACCGCUUUGUGCAGGUGUUGAGUGGGAAUUGUUUUGUGGAAUUGGAAGAUGCUGUUGAUGGUCCUGGCGGCAUGGGCCAGCACCCGACCCUGCCUCGCCUCGAGAGGCAUGGGGAUGGGAUCCCAUUAACCCACCCCGCCUCGGGUAUGGGACGGGGAUGGGAAAUAGAUUUAUAUAAUUGAGACGGGAAUGGGGUAGGGGUGGCCCCGCCCAAACCCGCCCCGUUGCCAAUCCUACCCUCAUUCCACCCAGCCAUCCCUCAAUGGUGGCGGGAAAGGCCUGAAAUCAAAAUAGACAUGCAAAGAAAACCCAAAAUCAAAAAAGGGGGUCUACAGUACAUUUGCUAAAACUCGAGUUUUAAUGAAAUUGUAACUUUAAAUAAUAAACCAAGUUUUCCAAAUAUGCAUAAAAAGAUAUAUAAAACCUAAGUGCACCCAUGUAUUCAUCUUACAUUUGUUUUAUAUGAUAAAGUCUUUCAAAUGUCUCAAUCUUAUAUCUAUUUGGUUUUUUGAUGAAUUUAUAAAUUUACACCUAAAAUUCUUUACCAUUCAAAUCAAUUAGUCACUUAACCAUGAUUUGUUAUCAUCAAAACCUGAUUAGGAGAACCCUUGGGCUAACAAUUACAAAUUCGGAAGGUAUCAAAUUUAUACCUUAGGAGUUCCUUUUAUUAAAUAUACAACAAGAGAUGAUAUAUAGAAGCUUAGAAAGUGAAUUAUUUUAGAGAAUGUUAAAAAUUUUGAUACACAAAACACAAAUUACUUAAAUAUAAAAUCGUAUCAAGGAUAAAUAUAAAUUUAUUAAACAAAAACUACAAAGUUUAUGCUUUUAUAUAUAUAUAUAUAUAUGCUGCUAUUGGCUUGAACAUUGGCCUCGCAAUGGACUAAAUAUUUCACUUUGACAAAACUUUUUCGUCCCCACUCAAUUAAUAAAGAAAAAUACACAAUUAAAAUAAAUAAACAAAAGAAAAAAAGAGUUGUGCACCUUCUCCCCACCACACAACUAAUAAAUUCUAUCAUAUUUGACUCAAUGGUGUUAUCCGUACUUCCUAACAUGGGUUGGCAAAAUAUAUUAGGGACUUUUAACAUAGAAAUUAAAGACUAUAUUUUGCUUUGAAAAUAUUAAAUAAAGGAAAAAAUUGUUAAAAAAAAUAAUUUUAUUAUAUUUGGUUUUAUUAUGAAAAAUAUAAUUAAAAUUAGUUAGAAAUUUAUAUAAUUUUUAUAUAAAAAAAUAAGUGAAAUAAGUUUAAAAUAGUAUAUAAAAAUAAUUUAUUUAUUUUUAUUUUUAUUUUUUAAUUUUUUUUCUCUUGCAUUUUAUUUAGAUAAAAAAAAAAAUAAAAAAAGAAGAGAUAAGGAAAAGGAAAGUACAUAUGCACUUUCUUUCUACCAAUGAUGAAAAUAUCGAUAAUUAUGGAUAUAUCGGUAUUUUGAUUUUACGGAUAUAUUAAAAAUAUCGAUGAAUAUUUUUUUUCACAAAUAUGGGUGAAGAGAAACUUAUUUAAAAUUCAUAAAAAUGCUUUAAAAAACUCCAAGAAUUGAUAAAAUAAGUAAGAAUACGUAUUUUAUAUAUAUAUAUUUUAUAUUAUUCCAUAAAGUUGUGUUGAAAAUAUCAAUAUAGUUUUAAAAUUGCUAUUUGGAAGAGUUCAGAUGUGUGGUCUUUUAUAUCACAUCCAGAAAAUUGAGAGGAUGAGUCAUAGAUCACUAUCAAAAUCAUUGUAAAUCACGUGACUCCUUGAUACGUGGCUGGUUGCUGUUGGUUCACCUCUCCUACUUCUCCUACACCGUUUUGUAAUUUACUUUUCCUCAAAAUAUGUUCUAAGUUUUAACCACCUCGAAAAUCGUAUGUAAAACUUUCAUAAAUGAUUUAAAAAAGUAAUAACAUAUAUUAGGUUGAGUGUUUUUUUAAUAAAUAAUUUAAUAAUGAAACCCAUAUAAAAUAAAUGUUAUUUAAAUUAUUCCUUAUUUUAUAUUUUUCUAAAACUCAAUAAAUAAUUUUUUGUAAUGGUAUUUCUCAAAAAGUUUAAACUCCUUAAUUUCAAAUAUUAUUUUUCUAACCAUAAAUCAUCUUUGAAAUAAAUAUUUUAAAAAUGAUAGUUUGAUUUAUCAUUUAAAUGUAAGUGUUUUAUAUAAAUUAUUUUAAAUUAACAUAAAAACUUUUUAGUUAUUAUUUGUUAAAAUUUUCGUAUUCUUUCAAAAGAGGAUAAAGUUCAUGUUAUUAAUUGUAUUUUUUUUUCUUAUUAUUGUGCUUUUUAUAUAAUAAUUUUUUUAAAUUGCAUGAAUAAAAAAAUAUUUAAAUAUAAAAUCUUAUAAAAAAGAAAUAAAAAUUUAUUAAACAACAAAUAUAAAUUUUUUGCUUUUAUAUUCUUUAUUAUUUAAAGUUUGUUUAUAUAGUUAUUGCACCAACAUUGGCAUGACGAUGGAUUGAGCAAAACAUUUCCAAUAACCUCUCAAUUAAUAUAAAGGAAAAGACAUAUUAAAAAGGAGGAAGAGAUCUAAAGAAGAGACAAGAGAAAAGACCGGAGCACAUCCUCUCCACCACAAAACUAAUAAGCAUCUUAUUCAAACAUAAGUUUGUCUUAUUCUAUCCAACGUCAUCAUCCAACCAAGGAAAUGCAUUAUUAUUAUUAUUAUUAUUUUAUUAAAAAAAAUAGAAAUUAAAGAAGAGACAAGGGAAAGGACAUAUGCAACCCCCUCCACCACACAACCUUGCCGUGAAGGGUGGUUUUCCCAAAACAGACUGUAAACGGAGCUUACAGCCAAAACUGUCAUAGCAUGGAUGUCAUUGUACUUACAUGGCAUGGAUGUCAUCAUAAACAUCAUGAAAAUUUAGUUUUAUUUCAUUUUUAUUUAUUUUACUCCUUUUUAAAAUAAAAAAAUUUUGAUUAAAAAAAUUAAAAUUUUAGCUGACAGAGAAUUUAAAAAUGUAUAUAACACACCAUUAAUAAUAUUAAUAUAUAACAUUAUUCAAUAUAAAUAAAAUGCUUUUAUAUAUUUAAUAGCAUAAUGCAAUGUUUUUUAUUUAUAAAUUCUAAAUAUUUUAAACACAAAUGUUAUUAUCAAAGAAAUAAAAAAAAAAUUACUAAAUUUUCAUUUAUACACUUCAUUUUGUCUAGUUUCCAAAAUAGAAAAUAAUAAUAACUUUUUAUAUAAAAUUCAAGAACUUUUAAAACUUUACAUUAAAAAGCUAAUAAUUUUUUAAAACUAUUUAAAAAAAUAAAGGUACUCAUAAAAAUUUAAUAUCUUAAAUUUAAAUUUUUUUGAAAGUUAUUUUUAAAAAUAUAAACUUGGUCUACACUUUUUGUAUAAGAGGAUUUUUUUUUUAGAAGUUCUUACUAUUUUUUUUUAAUUUAAAAAAAAACACCAAGAAGUAUGUUCAAAUGGACAUGAAAUUAUAAAUUAUCAAAUGAUUUUCAAAUAGGACUAAACAUGAGAAAGAUUUUCUAUAUAUAUAAAUAUUUUAUAAUAGGAAUGCAAUAUAUUUUUUAUUUUUAAAAAAAUGGAUGUUGAGAUGUAAUAAAAUUUCUAUAAUAUUUUUUUAUUCCUUUGAUAAAUUAAAUAUAAACAUGCAAUAAAAUAUUAUGUUGGAUUUAAUAUCUAAAAUACCAUUAUCACUUUAGAUAUAAUAUAUCAAGAUUUGAUUAUGUUAUGUCUUAUUUUGUCAUGUUCAACCAAUCAAACUUAAAUUACCUUAUUUAAUGUUUUUAUCCAUCAAUUAAAUGCAUUACAUGGAUAGGCAAAAUGGAACUAAUUAGGCCACGUCAUAUAUGUAAUUUAAGUUUUAUCACAUUAUUUUAGUACUUUGUACCUCAAAUAUGAUUUUAGUAUUUUGUUCCUUGACCUCAUUCUCGUUAGCAUCCUCAAAGCUCUAAAUUUUAUCAUAAACUUUGAAUGACAGCUUGGAUUUGAACUUCAAUAGGUGUCAAUUUGGUACCUUAGACUUUUUCGGACCUUAAAAACAUAAAAGAAAAAUAAAAUUUUAAAUAAUGAAUUUAAAGGAAAAUGAUACCUUUGAUCUUAAUUUGAAGAAAAAGAAUAAAAUUGAAAGAGACAAAAAAUUAAAAUAUGAAGAAGGAAAAUAGGAAAAUGAAAUUUAUUAUCAUUUUUCAUCAUUUUUUGUUUGAUCUUUUAUUUCUUCAUUUUUUUUUUGUAUUUAAAUAUAAGAAAAUCACAUUCCUUAAUAUUAUUUUCUUAUUUCUUUAAUAUUUUUAAAAAAUGAAACUGUGGACUCUGUAUUUUUCACGUGCGUCCUCAUUCGUUGGCGAGAUUCGCUUUAAAUUUAUUUAUUUAGUGAAAAUUUGAUUUUUUGAGAAAGACUUGGAGUUGUCACUUAUUUUUAUUUUAUUUUUUAAGGGAAAAAUAGAAUAAGAAAUAAAAACCCUAAAUGUGACUCUUGAAUGAAAAACAGGUUUAGGAAAAACCGAAUUUGGAUUCGGGGGUUAGGUUACCUAUUGGGAAGGUAUGGUAAUGAGCCGUAGCACCCCUCUAACCCCGUAUACAUACGGUCUCUACCAAACAAAUUAAGAGAAUUGUAACAAUUAAUUAAUUAAUCAUGUAUGCCAAGAAAAAUAACGUAUAAGUCAUGCUAAAAAUCAAUAUACACAAAAAUAAUGAUGAAAUCUAAUUAAAAGAAUACACAAAAUAAAUAACAGGAGAAUUAUACAAAAUGAUUUAUUUAAAUAAAUAAAUAAGAUAUUAAAAAAUAUUUUUUUCAAGAAAUUUUAAAUGAUUUUAUUAAAAAAAAUUUUGAAUGAGUGAUUUCAAUUUAUUUAUUUACAAAAAAGAGUCAAUUUAUUUUCUCAAUUUCAUUUGUAUUCAAUUUUCAGAAAAUUUAUUUACAUUUGUUGUAUUAAAAGAAUUUAUUACAAAAUUUCAAUUUUGAAACAAAAAAAAUAUAUUUUUACUUGCUUUAAAAAAAAAAGAACUUUUACAAUUUUAUUUACAAAAGUAUUUGAAUUUGUUUUCAUUUAAGAAAAGUUAUUUAUACAAAUUAUUAAAUAUAUAUAUAUAUAUAUAUAACUUUAUUUGCAAAAGAAUUUUUAAAUAAAAAUUAAUUUUUUGAACAAUUUUAUUUACAAAACAAUUUUUAGACAUUUUUUACUAAACAAAGAAUUUUUUAGACAAUGAUUAUUAAAAAACAAUUUUUUAAAUGCUAUUAAAAACAUUUUUUUUUAUUUUUCUAAAAGCAUUUUUUUGAAUUUUUAUUAAUAAUAAUAAAAAAACUUUCUUUUACUUAGAAGAAUAUUUUAAAAUUAUUAUUUUAUUAAAACAUAUUUACUGAAUUAUUCUUUUUAUUUAAACAAAAUCUCUUAUUUGUUCGAAAUUCAAUUAUGUAAACACUCAAUAAAUAUUUAUAAAAACUAAUAAAAAUAAAAUCAAAUAAAACUGGGAAAUAAAAUGUGUACCUAAAUAAGCUUACAACAAGUUCAAUGUCUUCCUACAACUUUUUUAUUCUCACUUUCUUUCAUGGAAUUUCGUACUCCACGGGUCAUAAAUUUGCACUUAGCCAACAAAAUUGCAGAAUAGGUACAUGUAAAAACAAAAAUAGCCCAAACGUAAAUAUCCAAAGAUGUACAAAAUCUCAAACAAAUAUUCAAACCAAAAUUUAAAUUUUAAAUUAGUCUCAUAAAUUUCGUUAAUUAAAAUGAACCCAAAUUACUAUAGGUUUUAGCCUAAAAUAUUCAAAUUAAUAACCAAAAAUACAAACACAAUCAACCAAACCUAAACCGGGAAGGAGAGUACCUCAACCGGGAAGGGAAGGUUACUGGAUGAGAGAAAGUGUUUUUGAUACUCCUCGACUAGACCUUGACCGAACAAGGGCAACCGAUCAAUCAGUUUCUUGGUCGGUUGAGUCGGUUGGCCAGUGCCUUGACCGGUUUAGCCUUUUGGCCCAAAAAACCUAUCUUUUUCGGUUCUUUUCCUUUCCAAAACUUAGGCAAGGUCUUUAGGUAAAUUAAUAUGUCAAUUUUGAAAUGUUUUGUCUAAGGUAUAUUUGCUAAAACUCGAGUUUUAAUGAAAUUAUAACUUUAAAGAAUAAAUCGAAUUUUCCAAAGAUCCAUAAAAAGAUAUAUAAAACCUAAGUGCACCCAUGUAUUCAUCUUACAUUUGUUUUCGAUGAUUAAAAGUCUUCCAAAUGUGUCGAUCUUGUAUCCAUUUGAUUUUUUGAUGAAUUUUCAAAUUUACACCUAAGAUUCUUUACUAUUCAAACCAAUUAGUCACUUAACCAUGAUUUGUUAUCAUCAAAACCUAAUUAGGAGAAUCAUUGAGCUAACAAUUACAAAUUCGGAAGGUAUCGAAUUUAUACCUUAGGAGUUCCUUUUAUUAAAUAUACAACAAGAGAUGAUAUAUAGAACAUAGAAAGUGAAUUAUUUUAGGGAAUGUUAAGAAUUUUGAUACACAUAAUACAAAUUACUUAAAUAUAAAAUCGUAUCAAGGAUAAAUAUAAAUUUAUUAAACAAAAACUACAAAGUUUAUGCUUUUAUAUAUAUAUAUGUUGCUAUUGGCUUGAACAUUGGCCUCGCAAUGGACUAAAUAUUUCACUUUGACAAAAGUUUUUCGUGACCACUCAAUUAAUAAAGGAAAAGACACAAUUAAAAUAAAUAAACAAAAGAAAAAAAGAGUUGUGCACCUUCUCCCCACCAUACAACUAAUAAAUUCUAUCAUAUUUGACUCAAUGGUGUUAUCCGUACUUCCCAACAUGGGUUGGCAAAAUAUAUUAGGGACUUUUAACAUAGAAAUUAAAGACUAUAUUUUGCUUUGAAAAUAUUAAAUAAUGGAAAAAAUUGUUAAAAAAGAUAAUUUUAUUAUAUUUGGCUUUAUUAUGAAAAGUGUAAUUAAAAUUAGUUAGAAAUUUAUAUAAUUUUUAUAUAAAAAAAUAAGUAAAAUAAGUUUAAAGUAGUAUAUAAAAAUAAUUUAUUGAUUUUUAAUUUUUUUUUCUCUUGCAUUUUUUUUAGAUAAAAGAAAAAAUAAAGAAAGAAGAGAUAAGGAAAGGGAAAGUAUAUAUGCACUUUCUCUUCACUAAGGAUGAAAAUAUUGGUAAUUAUGGAUAUAUUGGUAUUUUGAUUUUACGGAUAUAUAAAAAAUAUUGGUGAAUAUUUUUUUCACUAAUAUCGUUGAAGCGAAAAUUAUUUAAAAUUCAUAAAAAUGCUUAAAAAAACUCUAAGAAUUGAUAAAAUAAGUAAGAAUCCGUAUUUUAAAGUUAUUUUAUAAAUAUAAUUGAUAUAAAUAUGAUCAAGAAGAAAAAUAUCGGUAGACAGAGAUAUAUCGAUAGAUUUGAUAUUUGAAUUUUAAGAAUAAUAAAUAUAAAUUUUGGAAGUGUAUAAAGUUAAGAAAUAUUUGAUUUUAUUAAAUAAAAACAAUUUAUAUGUAAAUAUAAUGCAUAUGACAUUGCAAUAGUCUUAUUAUUAAAAUGAAAAUCAAUAUGAUUUUAUCAUAUUAUUAUAUAAAGGGAUCCUAUCUUGUUGAAGAUAAUAUUUAUUUUAAAAAUUUUAAAAUAUUUUUUUAUUAAAACAUGUUUUAUUAUAUUUUAAAUAAAAAAUUAAAUUAAUUUAUAUAACAUAUUUUAUUUGAGAUUUAAUUUCUAAAAUUUUAUUAAAAAUAUGUGAUAAUAAUUUUUUCUAUUAACAUUAAUUUAUUUAAAUAAUUAAAAUUAUUAAUAAUUUAUCUUAUCAAAUUAAUUUUAAUUUAUAAAAUAUCAUCGAAAAAAGUCGAAAUUUCGUAGUGAUUUAAUCAAAAUAAUGAUGCAUAAUUAAUAAUUAUUUAUACAGAGGGUGGAAACUUGUUCUCAUGAUUUGUUUCUUUUUAAAUCUCUACUAAAUUUAAAAACCGAAAGGGCCACUCACUUCUCUCACUCGGGCAUCAAGAAGCCCUUAUCUGAAGUUGCCUUCCAGACGAGAGAAUCCCUAAAAAGACCCUGUUUUCCUCUGCCACUCUCAAUCCUCGCAGGUUCUAAUCUAAUCAUGUUAUUUUUUUUUUUUGCAACCCCCGUUUGAUUCCCAAGAAAAUCCAUCCCCAUUCGAUUUCAGGGAAAAUUCAUCCUCGUUUGAUUUUCGAGAAAAUCCAUGCAAAACCCCCAAGGAAAACCAAAAGCAUUGCUAUUUUUUUUUGCUCCCUGUGUUUUCUGGAUAAGUUCUAGGGGUCUUUUUGCUUUUGUGCCAUUCGAUUUAAAUUUCAUGAACCCUAAAUCCACGAUUUUUGAGCCAGGCUGAAAAACACAACCUUUGCCUGCAAAUCAUGAUUAGAUUACUAAAUAGCAUCUUAUGUUUUUGUUCUAAAAAAAAUUGGACAAAUUUUGUAUCCUGUGCGCGGGUCGGGCUGGUUGGAAAUAUCGGGAAAUUUCCCGAAAAAUCGGUAAAAAUACCGAUAAGUACCAAAAUAUCGGCGAUAUUUUCGAAAAUUACCGAAAUUUCCGUCGACCGAUAAUCGGUGACGAAAAAUUUCGACAUUUCAAUCCUUGGUCUCCACCACUCAACUUCACGGUAAAGGGGACCACAUUUGCUUUAUUUAAUGGCAAAUUUUAGAUCAUCUCUAUAAGACUUUUUUCAUUUAUCUCAACAAUUCUUUGAAGUGCUUUGUUAUUUUUUAAUUUCUAUCUUCCGAAAACACAUCUUCUUUGGAUUAUCAUCUGGUAUCAUAGUCAAGUUGAUCAGAUGGUUAUCUCAAUCCAACCUACCAUCCCAUUUUUUGAAGGAAAUGGAUAUGAUACUUGGAGCAUAAAGAUGAGGACUCUUUUUAUCUCCGAAGAUCUGUGGGAGCUUGUGGAUAAGGGUUAUGUAGAAGAGGAAAUUCCAAGAGAUGCUAUGAGAGAUGUACGAAAG